rnacentral:lncRNA from 1 species
GUGGCGUUGCGGGAUGCUGCGGGCGCUGCCGCUGCUGCUGCUGGUGUCGGUGCUGGCGGCAGGGCUCGGCCCAGGACCCCCCCGGCACCGCGGGGCUGAGCUGCGGGACCUGGCCCGGGGCAAGGUGGAGACCUGCGGCGGGUGACGGCUGAACCGCCUGAGGGAGGUGAAGGCGUUCGUCACCCAGGACAUUCCCCUCUACCAUAACCUAGAGAUGAAGCAUCUGCCUGGUGCUGACCCUGAGCUUGUGCUCCUCAGCCACCGAUACGAGGAGCUGGAGGUGAGUGGGCAGCAUGGCACCUGCUGCCGCAGCAGGGUCUGGGUGGCUGGUGCCCCACAGGCACCGGGCUGCAACCCCUGCCUGUGUGCAGAGAAUCCCCCUAAGCGACAUGACCCGGGAGGAGAUCAAUCAGCUGGUGCAGGAGCUGGGUUUCUACCGCAAGGAGACGCCUGAUGCCCCUGUGCCCGAGGAGUUCCAGUUUGCACCUGCCAGGCCUCUGCCCCCACUGCCACCUCCCCAAACUCCCACUGCUGAUGGCCACACCCCAGCCAAACACAACGAGGGAGAACACCCAGACCUCUAAUGAGGGGUGCUGCAGCCAGGAGAAGGUCCUGCAGCCAGUCCCUGGUGUGCAGGGAUAAGGACAUCACAGCAGCUGGGGAUGGUGCUGCGGAGUGGCAGAGGUGCUCCUGUUGUUGCUUGGUGCUGUGUAGCCUCUGUCCCAAGGAUGCCCUGAGCUGCCCCAGCCUUUAUCAGGGGUUUCAUGGGCAUUGUGGCCCUCUCAGGGGUGUGCAACAAGCACACAGGACUUGUUGCACACACCUUCCCCUGCAGCCCAGCAUUCCCAGACGGUCAGAUGUUCUUUGUGCUCCCUCUCAGUGCCCUGAGAUUUAGCUGACGCCUGGCGUUGGGCAGCGAUAUCCUACCUGCGUGGGACAGGAUGAAACCCUCAGCAGAAAGCCUCACGUGCUGAGGGUUGAUGUGUUGAGUCCUGGAGGUGGGAAAGCUGCCCCCAGAGGGGUUAUGGCUUUAUGCCCCAGCAGGAUUGUCUCAUAUCAAGCCCCCAGUAAAGCCCUUGCAUACUAUC